rnacentral:rRNA from 1 species
GACGAACGCUGGCGGCGUGCCUAAUACAUGCAAGUCGAACGCAUUUUCUUUCACCGUAGCUUGCUACACCGAAAGAAAAUGAGUGGCGAACGGGUGAGUAACACGUGGGUAACCUGCCCAUCAGCGGGGGAUAACACUUGGAAACAGGUGCUAAUACCGCAUAAUUCCAUUUACCGCAUGGUAAAUGGAUGAAAGGCGCUUUUGCGUCACUGAUGGAUGGACCCGCGGUGCAUUAGCUAGUUGGUGGGGUAACGGCCUACCAAGGCUGCGAUGCAUAGCCGACCUGAGAGGGUGAUCGGCCACACGGGAACUGAGACACGGCCAAGACGACUAAGGGAGGCAGCAGUAGGGAAUCUGCGGCAAUGGACGCAAGUCUGACCGAGCAACGCCGAGUGAGUGAAGAAGGUUUUCGGAUCGUAAAGCUCUGUUGUUAGGGAAGAACAAGGAUGAGAGUGGAAAGUUCAUCCCUGGACGGUAUCGAAACAGAAGGCCACGGCUAACUACGU